rnacentral:rRNA from 1 species
AUGCCGGAGAUGAAGAACAAGUUUGCGCAACCAGACGAGGAUACACCUUUUGGACGCCACUUGAAGGAAGUCACUAGAUACUUGAGCAUUGGGAUACCCAGUUUCAUCGGGACGUACAAUGCCACCCUACCAGAAGAGGAGCGCUGGAUGAUUCAAGUACAAGUACCAGGAAGGACGUUUUCGCCAACUUUUAAACCCAUAGAAUUUUCUUUCGAUGCACCAACCUGGAGCCUAGGCAAGAGCAUGGCAGCUCACAUUACCAUGGGACGCAUUGGAGAAGUCUACUAUAAGGAACUCAAGGACACCAUCUAUCAAAUAUGUGGACGCCGAGACGAGCAAUGGGAGAUGAUCAGCACCAAGAAGGAUAGAUCCAUUGCAGCUUUUAUCCAGGAGCAAAACCAGCACAUUCGACGACAGGAGAACCAGAUGUGCGCAGACAUGAUGGAGUUGAAGAAGGCAAAGACUAGGAUCAUCGAGCUGGAGGAAGAACUCAAGUUCACCCACGACGGAUAUGAGGAGGAAAUCAAGACACUACUGGAGAAGAACGACGUCUUGGUUAAGAAGAUCGGAGUAUUCAUGGGAGAACCAGCACCAGAAGACGAAGAUGACGACCCCACUUGCCCGGACAACUACAUCAUCAUCGACGACACUGAUUCUGAUCCUAGUGAUGAUGAUUAUGAAGAUGAAGCUGAAGCCGACAUUAUGGAAUCUUCCACCGAUCAAAAUUUUUAG